rnacentral:tRNA from 2 species
ACUGUGGCUCAGUUGGUAGAGCAGCUGAUUCGUAAUCAGCAGGUCGGCGGUUCGAGUCCGCCCAG